rnacentral:tRNA from 1 species
AAAUAGAAAACAAAUUAUUGUAAUUAGUUUCGACCUAAUCUUUGGUGUUGGCCCACCUCUAUUUG